GAUGAACGCUGGCGGCGUGCCUAAUACAUGCAAGUCGAGCGAACAGAUAAGGAGCUUGCUCCUUUGACGUUAGCGGCGGACGGGUGAGUAACACGUGGAUAACCUACCUAUAAGACUGGUAUAACUCCGGGACACCGGGGCUAAUGCCGGAUAACAUCUUGAACCGCAUGGUUCUAUAGUGAAAGAUGGUUUUGCUAUCACUUAUAGAUGGAUCCGCGCCGUAUUAGCUAGUUGGUAAGGUAACGGCUUACCAAGGCAACGAUACGUAGCCGACCGGAGAGGGUGAUCGGCCACACUGGAACUGAGACACGGUCCAGACUCCUACGGGAGGCAGCAGUAGGGAAUCUUCCGCAAUGGGCGAAAGCCUGACGGAGCAACGCCGCGUGAGUGAUGAAGGUCUUCGGAUCGUAAAACUCUGUUAUUAGGGAAGAACAAAUGUGUAAGUAACUGUGCACGGCUUGACGGUACCUAAUCAGAAAGCCACGGCUAACUACGUG
rnacentral:rRNA from 1 species